GUUUAAUGAAUAUUUGUUAUCAACCCCGAGUUGCACUGAUUGCUGAAUAUCUUAACAGAAGAAAUAUUUACAAGUACAGCUGCUGUACAUGUCAGUGAAGAGCACAGAUCGUUCAUACUCAUAUUUAUAUUCACAGCUUCCUAUCUCCAGGUUUACUGUAGCAUCCUUGGCCUCAUUGUCUCUUGCAUUUCCCUGCGGUGCCUGAUGUUACAAGCCCUGCUGGUGAAGGAUUUCUCCAUUUGGAGUGGAGCACAGCCCCUCCCAGGUAACAUUCCCUUCACCAGCAGCUUCCAAAUGCCGUGCUCAGGUCAGCUUUGAUUCUUGCAGGGCACACAACUGUAAACAGCCAAUGUGGCUGUGUGACCUGCAGGAGUAAUCUGUUUUCAGUUGUGGUCAAUUAAAUCCAAAGUUUUGUUGGGGUUUUUGGGGGGUUUUUUUGGUGGUUUUUGGUUAGUUUUUGGGGUUUUUUGUUUUUUGUUUUUUUUUUUUUUAAGGAAGGAAACCCACAUAAAUCAAACCUUGUUAAUUGCCACAGGCUAUUUUGUCCUUAGUUUAAUUCUGCCUUUUGUCAGUUAAACUGCCA
rnacentral:lncRNA from 1 species